GUGGGGAAUUUUGGACAAUGGGCGCAAGCCUGAUCCAGCAAUGCCGCGUGCAGGAAGAAGGCCUUCGGGUUGUAAACUGCUUUUGUACGGAACGAAACGGCUCUGGUUAAUACCCGGGGCUAAUGACGGUACCGUAAGAAUAAGCACCGGCUAACUACGUGCCAGCAGCCGCGGUAAUACGUAGGGUGCAAGCGUUAAUCGGAAUUACUGGGCGUAAAGCGUGCGCAGGCGGUUUUGUAAGACAGGCGUGAAAUCCCCGGGCUCAACCUGGGAAUGGCGCUUGUGACUGCAAAGCUGGAGUGCGGCAGAGGGGGAUGGAAUUCCGCGUGGAGCAGUGAAAUGCGUAGAUAUGCGGAGGAACACCGAUGGCGAAGGCAAUCCCCUGGGCCUGCACUGACGCUCAUGCACGAAAGCGUGGGGAGCAAACAGGAUUAGAAACCCCGGUAGUCC
rnacentral:rRNA from 1 species